rnacentral:rRNA from 1 species
UAGGGAAUCUUCCACAAUGGACGCAAGUCUGAUGGAGCAACGCCGCGUGAGUGAAGAAGGUUUUCGGACCGUAAAGCUCUGUUGUUGGUGAAGAAGGAUAGAGGUAGUAACUGGCCUUUAUUUGACGGUAAUCAACCAGAAAGUCACGGCUAACUACGUGCCAGCAGCCGCGGUAAUACGUAGGUGGCAAGCGUUGUCCGGAUUUAUUGGGCGUAAAGCGAGCGCAGGCGGAAGAAUAAGUCUGAUGUGAAAGCCCUCGGCUUAACCGAGGAAUUGCAUCGGAAACUGUUUUCUUGAGUGCAGAAGAGGAGAGUAGAACUCCAUGUGUAGCGGUGAAUGCGUAGAUAUAUGGAAGAAUACCAGUGGCGAAGGCGGCUCUCUGGUCUGCAACUGACGCUGAGGCUCGAAAGCAUGGGUAGCGAACAGGAUUAGAUACCCUGGUAGUCCAUGCCGUAAACGAUGAGUGCUAAGUGUUGGGAGGCUUCCGCCUCUCAGUGCUGCAGCUAACGCAUUAAGCACUCCGCCUGGGGGAGUACGACCGCAAGGUUGAAAC